rnacentral:sRNA from 1 species
GGAUGUAAGGGAGAUCUGAGUGUGUCAUCUGUCAUCCCAUUGAUUGCCAGGGUUGAUUCAGCUGAUCUGGCUAGCUAGGUGGGAGUCCCUUUCCUCCCACACCAUUCCAUGUGUGUCCCUCCCAUGCUCGGUGGAAGAGGACAAUGAGGUACCAUCCCAGGUAGAAGGAAUAUACUCUGAUUUUCUUGGAUGAGUCUGGUUACAUGAAUCACUUGCAAUCAAAGUUCAGGCUGAGCUUUAGAAU